UCAAAAGUCAAGUCGGGGGCUGCUAAAGCCCGCCGUCUACACCCAUGUCUUUUGCUGUACUUCUUGUUUCCUCGGUGGCGCUAAGCCUGCCGAUUGGACAAACCAAAACCUUUUUUGUAAUUGCAAUCAGCGUCUGAAAAAUAAUCUAAUUAUUUA
rnacentral:misc_RNA from 1 species